AGGGAGGAAAAGCGGGAGAUGAGCCACCGUGCUUCACCUUUGCGCCUGGCUUCCUUCGGUUCUUCCAGGCUGCCAUCCUCCUCUUUGACAGAUAUUUUUUGGAAUCCAAAAAAUUACAGAUAAAUUUGAAGCCACUCUGUAUUCCUGCAUCUUUCUCUUCCCCCAUCUUCCACCUUCUUGCAGAAAAGUACAGUGUUGGAACGACCACCAUACAGGACCUGAAGAAACAGAGGGAUAGACUGUGGAAGUUCAGUGCUGCAGGUGACUCAUAGGAGUUGACAAAAAAUAGAAAAACACUGCAUAAAGCUAAAAAGGAAGAUCUCAACUGCGCACUGGAAAAGUGACCCAUCAAUAUCACAGUGGACACAUGCCACUUGAUGCUGAGCAUGAAACAAGAACGAUCUAUUAUGAUGAACUGAAAAUGGAAGGGAAUUGUGACUAUUCAAGACAUAAUGACUGGAGCUCCAGCAGUAACACUGGUCCAUGAGGACUCUUGAAAAUGGAAGCCACAAGCCAUCCAUAGAGUAGGAACAAGAUGGAAAGAAGGUGAGUCUCUGACACCAGGAGGACCAAACCAGCCUGGGCUGUUUUUCUUAGAAUUCACUGAAUGUGAAGGAGAACAUCUAUGUUGUUCAUCACUAUUUUUGGUUUUUCUCUAACAACUAAUUUUUUUUUUUUUAAGAGACCAAGUCUCCCUAUGUUUCCCAGGCUGGUCUUGAACUCCUAGGCUCAUGGGAUUCUCCUCAUUUUGGCCUCCCAACUUGCUGGGAUUACAGGCAUGAGCCACCACGCCAGGCCCUGACAACUAACUUUUCUCCUGACAAUAAGUCUAAAAGGAGAAACUACAUUUCCAAUAGGCUUGGGGUUUUUUCCCUUGUAGAUUUCUUUUGUAUUAGCUAUAGUGUUUUUGUUUUCCUGAUGGAAGGAAAAACAUAUAGUAUAUUAUUUAUUUUCAUCAAUUUUAACAUACUAGUAAGCCUAUCCCCACAUCCUCAUUACAUUUUUGUGAUUUAAAAUAAAUUUCAUUAUGUUACAUUGAUAUAGAACAUAUAGUGAUGUUAUAUUUUUAAAGAGAAAGAAGCUUAUUAUUAUAAGAAACUUAAUCAAAUUUAUAACAUAAUAGAAAGAACAUUCAUAAAGUUACAAGUAUACAAGAUUAUUCUAAGAAUUCUAUCAUUAAAAGCAUAUUCAUAUUGGUCAUUUCUUCAUUUAACCUGGUGAGUCCAAUUUUAAAGAGAAAUCCUGGCUAGUCAUGUUAUCUAUCUGGCCUAAUUGAUAAAUUUUUAUGAUUUAGGUCUUUGAGGCAAUGGCUGGUUCUAUUAGUAGUCUUUAACCUUCCAUUUCCAGAGGAGAUCUCAGUGGCUUUUGAAAAACACUAUCUUAUUGGCUGGGUAUAUUUGCUUAACCAUCUGUACUCCGUAACUUAGUGACGCUGAUACAUAAAGUCCUGACUUGUUCAUCAUUUCUGUAGAGUGCUUAUCUCCAGGUUUUCUGAAGCAGGUAAAAACUCAUACUUAUGAGCUACAUAAUUUGCAAGGCCCAGUGCAGAAUGAAAAUAUGAGGUCUCUUGUUCAAAACUCCUAAGAAUUUCAGCAUGGUAACAGCAGAGCAUCAAACCAAGUUCAGGGCCCUGCUAAGCAAUGAAACCCUAUGUUAUAGCCCAGGUCACAUGUGCCCAUCAAUCCAGCCUUGGGUAGAUCCUAAAUUGAAUCAGCUCCCACACCAAUCAACCGACAGAAGAAGAUACAUGCUAUUUCUAAGUGUAUUAUUUACCUCAGUCUCUGCUAUGCUUUUACACACAAAGUUCAGCAUUUAAUCCAAAUUAUAAGAGAUCCCAAAAAGCAAGAUCAAACAAAACAACAGUCAACAGAACCAGACAGAGAGAUGGUGCAGAUGCUCAAACUAGCAGAGGUUUUAACUGAUUAAUGUGUUAAAGAGUCUAGCGAAAAGGUAGACAACCCAUGACAGAGAAUUUGAUCAGAGAGAUGGAAACUCUAAAAAAAAGAGUUAAAUGAAACAUGAGCAAUGAAAAUGAUUGUUAUAGACUGACUAGUGUAACCCAAAAUUUACAUAUUGAAGGCUAGUCCUCAAUGUCACUGUAUUUGGAAAUAGAGUUUAUCUUAGCAUACUAAUACAAUCAUGGUCUCAGCUUUAAAGGAUUCCUUCAACAGGCUUAUUCAUAAAAUGAAUAUAGCAGAAGAAAGAAUUGGUGAACAUGAAGAGAGAUCAGUGGAAAUUAUCCACACUGAAACUUAAGGAGUAAAAAGAGAGGAGAAAAAUCA